UAAGGUGUGGCUCAGUGGUAGAGCACUCGCCUGGCAUGAGUGAGGCACUAAGUUUGAUCCUCAGCACCAUAU
rnacentral:tRNA from 1 species